AACAGUCUUAUAAAGGAGAAAACUGAGGCCAGAUGAGAGUGGCUGAGUGGCUUUUACAGCUCUGAUUUAUAAUUAAUAAGCCCUGGACUUUGUCUCACAAGAUGAAAUGUUGACGCCCCUGGGGAGAUUGGACAAGUAUGCUGCAAGUGAGAACAUAUUUAACAGACAAAUGGUGGCCCGGAGUUUGCUCGAUACCUUGAGGGAAGUCUGCGAUGAUGAAAGAGAUUGUAUUGCUGUUUUGGAAAGAAUUAGCAGAUUGGCCGAUGAUUCAGAACCAACUGUGAGAGCGGAGCUGAUGGAACAGGUGCCUCACAUCGCACUGUUUUGUCAAGAAAACCGGCCUUCAAUACCAUAUGCUUUUUCAAAAUUCUUACUACCUAUUGUGGUUAGAUACCUUGCAGAUCAGAAUAAUCAGGUGAGGAAAACAAGUCAGGCAGCUUUGCUGGCUCUGUUGGAGCAGGAGCUCAUUGAACGAUUUGAUGUGGAGACCAAAGUGUGCCCUGUCCUCAUAGAGCUGACAGCCCCAGAUAGCAAUGAUGAUGUGAAAACAGAAGCUGUGGCUGUAA
rnacentral:sRNA from 1 species